rnacentral:lncRNA from 1 species
UCCUCAAAAUCUCCCCCAAACUGGGACCCCCUGCCCUUUACUGGGAGCACUGGGAGCUUCUGGCUCCGCCCCCUUUUGUAUUUAUUAAAGGUAUUUUGGGACAAAAUCUCCUUUUUUGGUCAUUUCUGGGAAAGGGGGGGUUGUGGGGGAGGGGCCGGCUGAGCCCUAAUGAGAUUUUGCUAAUAAUGUUUAUAAUUACAGUGAAUAAAUUUUAUUAUUAUUAAAAUUAUAUUAUUAGUAGGGAAUUAUAUUGGUAAAUAUGACUUAAGGGUUACAUUUAUUAUUAUUAUUAUUAUUAUUAUUAUUAUUAUUAUUAUUAUUAUUAUUGGUAUUGUUAUUAUUAUUACUGAAAUAAUAAUAUUAUUUAUUAUUAUGUAAUUAUUAUGAGAAUAUAAUUAUAAUUAUAAUAUUUAUAAUAAUAAAAUUAAAUUAUAUUAGUAAUCAUAACUUGAGGGUAAAAGAAUGCUAAUAAUAGUAGUAGUAGUAGUAAUAAUAAUAAAAAUAAUAAUAAUAUUACCCUCAAUUAUAAUCACUGAUUAAAGUGAAUAAAAAUUAGUAUUAUUUAAAUAUAUUAAUAGUAGGUAAUUAUAUUGGCAAUUAUGACUUUAGGGGAUAUUAAUAAUAAUAAUAUUAAUAUUAUUAUUAUUAUUAUUACUAUGAAUAAUAAUAUAAUAAUUAUUAAUAGUAUAAUUAUAAUAAUAAUGGAAAAAUAUUAUGAAAAAUCAUUUAUAAAAUAACAAAAAGCAAAACAAAAACAAGGAAAAAAUUCAAAACCCAUCACAUAUUUAACCCCAAAAUUAUCCAUUUUUAAUCAGCAAACUUUCCUCAAAAAUCCCAAUUUUCUCCCCAAAAAACGACUCCGGCACCGCUGCUCAAGCCACACCCAUUUAUUGCAGCACAAGCCCCGCCCUCAGCGGAGGAGGGGCAGCAGCACGAAGGGGAGGAGCCACCCGGGCCCGCCCAGCGAUUGGCCCCGCCCCACCGGGCCCUUGAUCCCGUCCUUGCGCCCCAUUGGCCGCCUGGGGGCCACGUGACCGGCGGCCAUAUUGUCUCCGUCAGCCAUUUUGUCUCCGUCCGCCAUUUUGUCUCCGUCAGCCAUCUUGUUUUCAUCAGCCAUCUUGUUUCCGUCAGCCAUUUUGUCUCCGUCAGCCAUCUUGUCUCCGUCAGCCAUCUUGUUUCCGUCAGCCAUCUUGUCCCCAUCAGCCACCUUGCCCCUGGUGACCAUCGUGCCACCGGCAGCCAUCUUGUCUCCAUCACCCACAUUGCCCUCAGCAGCCAUCUUGCCCCCAGCAGCCAUUUUGUCCCCAGCAGCCAUCUUGUCCCCAGCAGCCAUCUUGCCCCCGGCAGCCAUCUUGCCGCGGGUGCCAUUUUUCCCGCCCCCAUCCUCCGUGGCGUUAUUGGGCGUGGCCGUGGGGGCGUGGCCGUGCGGCAGCAGCUCCAGCCGGGGCAGAUCGGGCGAGAACAAACUCCUGUCGGCCAUCUUGUCGUUGCAGAGGUCGCCGCGGCAACAGGAGCCGGCCAAUGAGGCGUCGGCGUCGCCGCGGCGCUCGGGGGCGCAGCCGCCAUCGGGGACGCAGCCCCGCAGCUCCCGCCACAGGGUGAGGUUACCUGAGGGGAAAGGGGGCGUGGUUUACGCAGAGUGGGCGGGGUUUAGAGAGAAAGGGGCAUGGUUUAACGCGAAGGGGACGUGGUUUAA